rnacentral:rRNA from 1 species
UACAGAGGGGGCAAGCGUUGUUCGGAAUUACUGGGCGUAAAGGGCGCGUAGGCGGCCUGUUAAGUCGGACGUGAAAUCCCUCGGCUCAACCGGGGAACUGCGUCCGAUACUGGCGGGCUUGAAUUCGGGAGAGGGAUGUGGAAUUCCAGGUGUAGCGGUGAAAUGCGCAGAUAUCGGGAGGAACACCGAUAGCGAAGGCAGCUCGCUGGGACGGUACUGACGCUGAGGCGCGAAAGCGUGGGGAGCGAACAGG